AAUACCCAGUUGUUUUUUUUAUUUGUUUUUUUACCUACUCCUUACUCCAGGCAUUUAAAGAAUGCAUAAUGACAUGGUUUCUACUCUGAGCAGGCUGCAUCACGACAGUGCAGUGUGCCUAGUUGGCCUCAACUCCAGGAUACCCACUUCUUGUUAGAGAGGCUCAGUCUCCAGAAGAUUUGUCCAGGCAGGACUGGCAUUUCAGACAAGCCGAGUAUGUUGUGUGACUCUGUGGUAUGAUUUGGGGAGUGUCUUCAGGGUUGCCAUGUCCUACUCAUGCCUAAAAUUCCAUCCUUAGUGAUUCAUACAUGUUUACACCCUUGCCUGGAAGCAAGAGAUACAGAAAGAAAAGGCUGGUAACUUACUUCUGAAUUUUGCUU
rnacentral:lncRNA from 1 species